rnacentral:other from 9 species
ACGACUGGGCAUUGCCCCCAGUUUCCCCCAAAUUUGGGCAUUGUCCCUGGGUCUUCCAACGUACUGGGCGUUGCCCCCGGACACUGCGGACUGCCCCCGGGGUCUCGCUCACCUUCAGCG